rnacentral:rRNA from 1 species
AACGAACGCUGGCGGCAUGCCUAACACAUGCAAGUCGAACGAUCCCUUCGGGGAUAGUGGCGCACGGGUGCGUAACGCGUGGGAACCUGCCCUUAGGUUCGCAAUAACUCAGAGAAAUUUGAGCUAAUACCGGAUAAUGUCUUCGGACCAAAGAUUUAUCGCCUUUGGAUGGGCCCGCGUUGGAUUAGCUAGUUGGUGGGGUAAAGGCCUACCAAGGCGACGAUCCAUAGCUGGUCUGAGAGGAUGAUCAGCCACACUGGGACUGAGACACGGCCCAGACUCCUACGGGAGGCAGCAGUGGGGAAUAUUGGACAAUGGGCGAAAGCCUGAUCCAGCAAUGCCGCGUGAGUGAUGAAGGCCUUAGGGUUGUAAAGCUCUUUUACCCGGGAUGAUAAUGACAGUACCGGGAGAAUAAGCCCCGGCUAACUCCGUG